GCACCCGUAGCUCAAUUGGAUAGAGCAUCUGACUACGGAUCAGAAGGUUAGGGGUUCGACUCCCUUCGGGUGUACAA
rnacentral:tRNA from 1 species